CGCACCUGUCCCGGCCACCGGGCGGACCAGCUCGGCCGGUGUCAUCCCCCGCUCGCCCCCCGCGAUGUCAGGAGGUAUCUACAGUGUGCCAGGGACGUGGGGGACCGCUGAUAUUCUAAUGGGGCUGAUGGACAAUGAACAAGACAGAGAGGAAACAGCUGUAGUAAUUCACCAUGGGAGCUAAGGAGGAAAAAGACCCUGAUCCCGCGGAACGCUGUGGGGCUGACCGCCUUGGGCUCCUGCAUCUGCCCCUGGCUGGGA